UGCGGUCAGGUGAACUGAUGGACACAGCAGCCUCAUAAGCUGAAUACGGUGAGUUUGAUUCUCACGUCCGCAA
rnacentral:tRNA from 1 species